GUCGAGAAUCUUUCACAAUGGAGGAAACUCUGAUGCAGCGACGCCGCGUGAGUGAUGAAGGCCUUCGGGUCGUAAAGCUCUGUCGCAGGGGAAUAACACAAUGAAGGUACCCUGUAAGAAAGGAUCGGCUAACUUCGUGCCAGCAGCCGCGGUAAGACGAGGGAUCCUAGCGUUGUUCGGAAUCAUUGGGCGUAAAGCGGAUGUAGGUGGCUAUGUAAGUCAGAUGUGAAAGCCUGGGGCUCAACCCCAGAAGUGCAUUUGAUACUGCGUAGCUUGAGUGUCGGAGAGGUUACUAGAAUUGUUGGUGUAGUGGUGAAAUACGUAGAUAUCAACAGGAAUACCGGAGGCGAAGGCGGGUAACUGGCCGAACACUGACACUGAGAUCCGAAAGCGUGAGGAUCAAACAGGAUUAGAUACCCCAGUAGUCC
rnacentral:rRNA from 1 species